AAAAAAAAAAGAGGGAAUUGAAGUGUAAGAGAGCCCUUCACCACAAUCUCUAUCUCUCCUCAUCUUCUUCCUCUUCUGCCAACGCUAUUCUUGGCCAUUUCAGUUUCUUCUUCUAACUUCUCGACAAGGGUUCAUCCCAACACUAAACCCUACCUCUUACAUUCUUUUUUCCUUUCUUUAAUUUCUCUUGCAGCUGUUCAGAUUUAUUUUAGGGUUUUGUUUCUUAACCUAAAUGUAACGACUGAUUUUAAUCCUUUUCGAAGCUUGGGUGUCUUUGGAGGGUGAUUCUGUCUGCGUUCUUGAUCUUUUGUUUUGGUUGUCUCAGCUAGCCGAGAAUGUCUAGGCCAUUGGAUCGACUCACUAGACCAUGUGUGUUUCUUUAUAAUUGGUUUGAUUUUUUCUUCUUUUCAUCUCUUGGGUUUUCUUCUCUUUGCAAUUUUGGGAGUUUUGAAAUCUACGCUCCUGAUGCUUCGUUCGAGGAUCCACUUAUGAGAGCUUACGGGUAUGUAUUGUUGGAUUGGAUUUUGAAGAUGAAUUUUUUGAUUUAUGAUUUAUAUGUUUGAAAAAGCAAUUGUAAGAUCGUUAAUGACGACGAGGAACUAAGUAUAAUUUGUUGUGUAUUGAUGAGUGAAUUGUUUAUUUCAAAGUUGCUCUGUUUUUCAGUUAUGCAGUGUGAAGGAAAUAAAAUCGGUAUUUUAUUCUUUGUCCAAGGUUUUUAUCGUAGAUGAUGAAAAAUUGUUGAAAAUAUUUACAAAUGUAGAAAAAUUUCAAAAUCUAUCAACAAUAGAGAGUGAUAGACACUAAGUUUAUUAUGAAAUUUUGCUAUUUUUGUAAAUAUUAUGGUUCAUUUGUUAUAUUUGAAAGAAGAAAAAUCGUAGUGGGUGGCUAUUUGAGUUUAGGGAUUUGUGAGCCUGUCACUCACACUUUUCCAUUUUGCAAGUAUGACAAAAAAAAAAAAAAAAAAAAAGAAGAAGAAGAAGAAGAAGAAGACAAGUUCGACCCAAAUGAUAGACUCGAUAUACACUUUCAUACACCAAACAUUGAUUUGUAAGGCCUUGAUCACGUGUGACAAGAAUUGACUAUGUGAUGAGACUGCUAUCCGACGGAAGUUGGUGAUGGGAGAAAUUACUAGUUAACUUGCGUUUUGUGUUCUAAGUUGCAUGAUGAGAAAGGUUACCCGAUGAACUGUUAUGCGAUAUGAGCUUCCUUCACUUGGAAGUAGCUGGCGUCAUCCUUAUGCAAGAAGCUAGUGAGUUGAUACCUUGACGCCUAAUUGAAUGCAGGAUAAGAAGGUGAUAGUAACACGUGGCAUUCUGGCAUUGGCUAAGUCUCACUGUCGGGUAAAGGUAAUUCUUCCUGUAUGGAAAACUUCACCAGAGAAAUCUAUAAAUAGGUAAAGUUCGGCCGUUUAUUGGGUUGCUUUAACUUGUAUUCACUUUAGAAAGAACUGAGAGAAUUUAAAAAAAAAUUUCAGAGAUCCAUCACGAGCUUGAAUUUGAAAAGUCAAGGAAGUACAAGAAAAUUCUUGACUAAGGAGAUAAACGAGGAAUCUAAUUGAUUGUGAGUGGUUUUUCCCUACAAAUGUUUUUUUUAAAAAAAUAAUAAAAGGAUUUCUAGUGUGUUUAAAUCCUUAAAUGUAUUUUGAGCGAAACCCUGAGUUACAUGAUUUCUUUAUGUUCUCCAAUUCUUAAAAAUAUAUUUCACAUAUACAUGAUUGGAUUUGGAAAUGAACUAGCUAGAAUGAUGUGAUGAUCUUUGGUACCUUAUGCGAUGUGAUGUCUCAUACUUGCUGUGUGUUCUAGUGUGAGAUGUCUUAUCUUUGCUGUGUGAUUUAUGAUAAAAUGCUUUAUUCUUGCUCUAUGAUCUGGAAUAGGAUGCCUCAUACAUGCUAUAUGAUAUGGUAUGGAAUGCCCUCUGCUUGUUGUACAAUCUAGCAUUGGGAGACGCGUUAUGCAUGAUGGAUUUGAUGGUGAAUCAUUGUUGCAUUGAGAUCGCUCCGCAUAGCUGCAACCUAGCAAGUAGCGAGGAACGCCCAUCUUUUAAGUCUUGUCGUCUUGAUCGCCUUGAUCACCUAACUCGCCAUGCAUUAAAAUUAUUGUUUUGAGAUUGUAUAUGUUUUUACUUGAAGGAACUUGUCCUUGUGUUAAAUGUACUCUUUGAUAAAAUAUCAAUGAAGUAUGGCCAUUUAGAUCUA